AUACCAUGAUGAGGACAUCUCUUGAGUAACUCCAUAAUUCUUUCUUAUGCAUCAUACAAGCUUUCAUCUUCAAGUUGAUGGGAUGAUGUGAUCUCUUUUCUCAAUUU
rfam:Citrus sinensis cultivar Ridge Pineapple sweet orange scaffold00412_contig_4, whole genome shotgun sequence.